rnacentral:misc_RNA from 1 species
AACGCACCUUGCGCUCCUUGGUAUUCCGAGGAGCAUGCCCGUUUGAGUGUCUUGAUAUCAUCAAACGCCCCUGCCUUUUCUGGUGGGUCGGCGAUUUGGACUUGGACGUGCUGCUGGGCGCUCUGCGCUCGGCUCGUCUUGAAUGCAUUAGCUGGAUCUCCCUCCGGCCUCGGACCUUAUGGCGUGAUAAGAUCACCCGUCGAGCAGUCCUUGGUCAACGUUGGGUUCCGCUUCCAACCGUCCCCCGUGGACAACACCGAAACCUGGUUUUCGACAUCUGACCUCAAAUCGGGUAGGACUACCCGCUGAACUUAA